CGUGCUUCUCUUUCACCAUCCCAAGCAUUUCACACAUGAUCAGGCCAUCCGCAGCGUAUCCCACAAUAUAUCUAGCAGUCUCCUGUUUGGAAACAGCUGGAAUUGACUGAAGAGGUAAACCAAGGCGUGUUUCAGGAACACGAUGGCCUCGUAGGAGCUCAUAACUGUGCAACAGAGCGAAGUGUGGAGAUGAGCCCGAAACAGACCCGGCAGAGGGAUGCUUAAGGUCAGGACCAACAGCUUCUCCUUUGCCAGGGAUGUCCUCGAAAGGUUGGCCAUCCCCGCUAAAAGGAAAGACAUCACUGUCCCCUUUCCCUUGGAGAUCCGUAUAACCACUGCCUUCAAAAUCACUGGGGAUUCUUCGCUCUUUGGAGAGCUGUGAUGGUGUUACCCUCACAUGGGGGACCCUAGAGGUUGUCGUAUAUCGCAGAAAACCUACUACACAGCCAGCCCUUAGAGAAGAAACUGAAAAUGCAUGUGCAGGAAUCUCAGUGACAAAGGUUACCCAAGCAACAGUUCACCAUAUUAAUAAAUGUCUGGAAGCUCAUGGGAACCACUUUGAACAUCUCUUGC
rnacentral:lncRNA from 1 species